GGGGGGGGGGGGGGUGGAGGAGGAAAUAAGGAAAAAAAAUAUUAUAAACAAAAUAUAAAUAUAUAUACAGUAUAUAAUUAAUUGUUAAAGAGACAAUUUUUUCUCUAACGAUACAUGUAUGUGGGUAUGGAUAGGGUCUACAGAAUAGAGAGAAAAAUAGGCCAAAUAUAUAAAGAAUCAUAUAAAACCUACAAAGAAUGAAGAUAAAUGGGCAAAAUGUAUUUAUAUAUAAAGAAUAGAGAAAAAUAGUUAAUAAAAAUAAAAAUACAGAAAUGAUAGACCCCCCUUUCCCCACAAAUCCGGUCCCUCAUUUAAGUAUUUCACAUAUUAUUGAAAGGGUAACACAUUGACCCCCUAAGGACAUAUCUCUGACUUAUCUGUACAAUAGUACAGCAAUCAGUAGCCUUGAUAUAAUACAGAUAAUCUGGCUGAUAAAAUGGUGGACAUUAUGUAUUGAUCUGAUGAGGUCAUAGACACUAGAGCUACUUGUACUACUUGUACUGGUCAUGGUAUCACAGAACAUUGACAGGAUUCUUAAAUUAGCG
rnacentral:lncRNA from 1 species